CGUGAGAGUCUUAAGAAAUUUUAAUUAAAACAAUAAAUAUGAUAAAUAUAGAAAUUAUCUUUUUACAUAUGGAAAAUAGAAUUUAUCUAAUAUAUAUAUAUAUAAUUAUAAGUAUAAAAAUGACAAAUCUCAUGAGCAAGGCCUUGCCUGAAAAAAAAUUGGCAUAGAAGCAAAAAAAAAUUGACCUAUUAUUUAUAUAAAAUAAAGAAGGUUAAAACUGUGCCUACAUGAAUUUAACCCUCUACCUAACGUACACAUCAUGAUGUUCUGACCUAUUGAGCUACAACCACUUUACAUAGUUAUUGCCCUUGUAAAAUAUAUAUCUUGU
rnacentral:lncRNA from 1 species